GUGAGACUAGCUCGGGUUGGCAUCUCUGGCGUUGUGUAAAGGCAGGCAUCCUGCCCUUCCUCAGAGGAGCCGCACUGUUCUUCCACCAUCUCAAUGGAGUUCCCACUUUGCCUGAGCUUGACGGUGGUGCUCACAUCCAGGCAUGCAACAAUGUCUCCAGUCACCUGAAACCCUUAUAAGUUUUCCUCGGGAAUCCAAUAAUCUAAUUGAUUUACCAGAGGAUUACUGUGCACUGAUCAACCAGGCUUUCAGCUUCACGUGAGUCUGUCCUAAGUCAGAUGGAGUUAAGUCUUGAGCUCAAACUCUGUGCUUGGUGUGUGGCACGAUGCUGUCUUCUCAGAGCAGCUGCUGCCAGACUGAGCUGGAGGGGUGAGGGAGAAUCAGGUUCUUUUCCUGUACCUCGAUGACUAUGGAGAACUGUCCAAGGGCUCAGAUGGAGGAACAUGCUACACAAAGAUUCAGACUCUCUGGCGCCAGCACAACAUCACAGAGGAGAUGGGUCAUGCACAGGAAGCUAAUCAGACUCUGGAGGACAUUGACUGGGAGAUCCUGGAUAUUCUUGGCUAAUGCAGAAUCUAAACUAACCAGGGAUCUGCACAUUUACCUAGAAAUAGUGCAGAAUCUUGAACAUCAAUUAUUGAAAAUGUUGAACAUUUCCUUUUUUUUUUUUUUUACAUUUCAAAAUUCUAAAAACUUGUUUAUUUCUAAUUUUAAAUAAAAAAAAUUCUUAAUCAAAAUAGACAAAUGUCAUAUUCUGAGAUAUUUCUAAAAGAAGUUCAGUGAUCCAUAACUAAUGGAUGCUGUAAUGUACAACUGUUCUGAGCACAUUUUCUGUUUUUCACUUGCAGCCUACAGCCAAAAUCCCCAGUACUGACUGAACACAUCAAAUGCUGAGUUUACUUUUACAGUCUUGAAUUAACACCUCUGCUAACUGCGUCAUCACCUACAGUGCUGAACUGACAGUUUACUUAACAGCCAUAAUGCUCACUGUUUACAAUACGAAUUAAAGAUUAUAUAAACCCUGGAAUUGUGAAUUAAGCACACGUUUGGUUAAAAGAUGGUGAAAAAAAUAAUUGGUUUAUCACUCGUUGGUUUUGUAAAUAAGGCUUGGUGAAAAUUAGGUUUAAGCUCUGUUUGUGCCACAGGCUAUAUACCUUUCCUCUAAUUUGUUUUCACUGGAUGUGUACUGUUUUACAAUCUAAGGGCUUUGUUUGCAUCUAUAAUGAU